rnacentral:rRNA from 1 species
GACGAACGCUGGCGGCGUGCUUAACACAUGCAAGUCGAACGGUAAGGCCCUUUCGGGGUACACGAGUGGCGAACGGGUGAGUAACACGUGGGUAAUCUGCCCUGCACUUCGGGAUAAGCCUGGGAAACUGGGUCUAAUACCGGAUAUGAGUCCCGGCCGCAUGGUCUGGGGUUGGAAAGUUUUUCGGUGCAGGAUGAGCCCGCGGCCUAUCAGCUUGUUGGUGGGGUAAUGGCCUACCAAGGCGACGACGGGUAGCCGGCCUGAGAGGGUGAUCGGCCACACUGGGACUAGGACACGGCCCAGACUCCUACGGGAGGCAGCAGUGGGGAAUAUUGCACAAUGGGCGGAAGCCUGAUGCAGCGACGCCGCGUGGGGGAUGACGGUCUUCGGAUUGUAAACCCCUUUCAGUAGGGACGAAGCGCAAGUGACGGUACCUGCAGAAGAAGCACCGGCCAACUACGUGCCAGCCGCCGCCGUAA